AUAAAAGGGAAAGCAACGCGUUAAGUGUAACUCGCUUGCUUCAAGCUGGUGAUUCUAAUCGUUGUGACUACCUUGCCCGUACACGUAUCUCUGGAAUCAAGCCUCCGUUAUUUUCGGAGAUAUAAGCAUAACAGGCAGUAGACAACAGUUGAUGCUCAAGGUCGAUUGUCACGGCAACGGAGCCAAAUUCAUACGAUUAAAAGCACAAAGCAUAAGGAAGUACUGCUAUUGUAAGCAAGCUCACUCCGAAGAACAAAGCGAAUCAAAAGUAGCACACAACCGGCGAUCUUCUGCGAAGCCUAUUUAGGCAGUGUCCUUAUCGAGACCGACGAAAAGCCCUCAAAAGAGGGCUUUUCUUCUUAAGCACAUUUUUCGCACUUCGACGAUACUGCUCCCGUAGGCCCAUUCGGCGGAUGAAUAGUGAUUCCAGGAAGAGGAACAGCUCAGGACAAUCACCCCAUUCCUGGCUGGAGUCGAUCAACAACGUCGAGACAUACGAACUUGGCGUCGCCGUGUACGCCACGAAUACAACCGGCGUCGGACGAAGAACGUGCGUCGACAGAACGAGGGUAACGGAACAGAUGGAGUGCUGCCAUCAUUUACACCUGUGAGUCGGCGAUAGAGGUGAUGCAACGUAUGACCGCAGUCAGUAUAUCGGAAACAAUUAGCUGAACUUAAGGGGCCCCCAACGAUAGCAGGUGAUGUGCUAGCAUAAGUAUAGAUCCAGAAUGAAUAGAAGAUGUGAACAAUCGUCCAAAUAGAUCUAAGCAAAAUGUAUGAAUCGUUUCCUUAUUGUGAUAUAUUUCGUGUGGCUAGU